ensembl:lncRNA
GAAUAUGAAAUGAUUGCAUAUACUGUAGUAUAAGAAAAGUGUGAUUGACUUCGGGGUUUUCUAUUGCUGUUUUUGUAUAACGUACUUUGAGGUCACUGAUACUCCACCUGAUGUGGUGGAAGUGUCGAACCAGAUCAGAACGCCUUCGAAGACCACCUUCAGGCGCGGACUUAAAAAACUUCCACAUCCUUUUACCAGGUGAGACUGAACAUGGACAGGGUACAUGAGAAAACGGAGAGCCACCGGAGUAGAAUCAAGGUGACCAAGAGGUUCGACAUCUGGGCAAAUGACUUAGCUUGAAAGGAAGACGAGACCCGGGAAAGCUUGGUGCUUCUAGCUGGGGUCACCAUCCGUUAUUAAGGUGAAUAUACAAAUCUCAGAUAACUAUUUUCAUUUGCCAUCUCGUGGUGUGCGGCAUUGCCAUGUUGUCAGCAGUACCAACACUGGCCCAGGGGGUUCUCCAAAUAGUCAAUCUCAAGGCUAACUACUGGGUCACGCUGAGUAACCGCCACUUCCAGUGUACGAAAGACUGAUGAGAGUAAAUAUUAGUUAAUUAUAGGAGAGCUGUAGCUCCGGCAACCGGUGAUGUGGAGCAGAGCAUGCUGGGCGAUCUCUAACUAAGGAGUAGGAAGUAACUAGAGAGAGUACACAAGCCGUGAUAAAUUCCAGCCAUCUCAUGUGAUUACCCCCAGUUAGCAUUCUUUGUUUUAGCCAAGGCCAGUGGGUGUCCUUCAGAAAUGUGAGUUCAUGUUUCUUACAAUUCAUGUGUUUGUUAUGCUAAUUAGCGUUUUUACCGUGAGCUAGCAACUGUAAGCUUGCUAACCCUGUUGUUUCUGUCAUCUCAUUUCAGACAUUUCGCAUUUCAGUGUCUAGUCUUAUAUGCCCUGUGGUUAUAUUGAUGUAUACUGUUUACUGAUUAUGUGGGUAUUUGUUUGAGCAAUGAGCCUUGUGGAUGCAUUAUACAUUCAAGUUGUGUGAGGAUGAUGGUGCUGAUCAGUAGUACUGUGUAGUUACACUCUUCUGAUCAUUCAUUAGUGAAGUCACAGCCAUGUUGUUAACCAGCAGAUAACCAAUUGUAGCCAUAUUAUUUAUAGCUUAUGUAAUUGUAGGUUGUAUUAAGCCUAUAACCUGCCAUUUACUGUUGUAUUUAAUUUUCCCCUUUUCAGAACCACACAAACUCUUAGUUAACACAGUUGUCAAGCCAUACUGUGCUGUAUUUGCUCUGUUUAAUCAGCGUCAUUAAACAACCUCAACUGGCCUAUCAUCCGUGCCCUUACAAGCACCUGUGCUACGUAAAGUCCUCAACUACAUCCAGGACCUAGGAGUUAUGCCCAACACCCAGACAUGGAUCCACCUGAUGUCCUCCAUUACCAACCACACUCCAACUUUCCAUUACAUCAGCUACUGUUAUUGUCAUUAUCUGCUAAGAAAAAGCAAGCCAACUAUCAUACUGGGCUCAUUAUGUGAGAUACACAGAUUAGCUUAAAACACUAGCACUGCAAACACUCAGAACAAAGAGGGGAGCAGCGCCUGGAUUUUGCGGUCUCCUUCUUUGAGUCCACCUUCCAAGACGGACGACCUGUUGAAAACAAGUGACAGGCAGAACCUCCCAUCCACACAAUACCCACCUCCUCUCUGUUCCACACACCAGAAUUCAGCAUUUCAGUCUAUGAUUGCCAUGUGAGUGUACAAAAAAAUAAGUAAAUUGACACAUGUACCUAUAAAAUAUUGCCAGAUUGUUUUUUAUAGCUGUUUCAUAGGAUGUUCAUUAUUGUCAAUUGUAAGGUAUUCCUUGAUGGUAUUUGUUAAUUACAACAAUUAAUAAUGUUGA